rnacentral:rRNA from 1 species
GGAUUGCCCUAGUAACGGCGAGUGAAGCGGCAACAGCUCAAAUUUGAAAUCUGGCCCUUGGGUCCGAGUUGUAAUUUGUAGAGGAUGAUUUUGGUGCGGUACCUUCCGAGUUCCUUGGAACAGGACGCCUUAGAGGGUGAGAGCCCCGUACGGUUGGAUGCCUAGCCUUUGUAAAUCUCCUUCGACGAGUCGAGUAGUUUGGGAAUGCUGCUCUAAAUGGGAGGUAAAUUUCUUCUAAAGCUAAAUAUUGGCCAGAGACCGAUAGCGCACAAGUAGAGUGAUCGAAAGAUGAAAAGCACUUUGAAAAGAGGGUUAAAUAGCACGUGAAAUUGUUGAAAGGGAAGGAUUUAUGACCAGACUUUUUCUAGGCGGAUCAUCCGGUGUUCUCACCGGUGCACUUCGUCUAGUUUAGGCCAGCAUCGGUUUUCGGAGAGGGAUAAAAGCUUUAGGAA